rnacentral:tRNA from 1 species
UUUUAGAGUGUGGUGUAGCGGGUAGCACGAAGAAUUUUGAAUUCUUAAGGGUAGGUUCAAUACCUAUGGCUCUAG